UACAGAGGGGGCAAGCGUUAUUCGGAAUUAUUGGGCGUAAAGGGCGCGUAGGCGGUGUCUUAAGUGGGAUGUGCAAUCCCCGGGCUUAACCUGGGAACUGCAUCCCAGACUGGGACGCUGGAGUACUGGAGAGGGUGGUGGAAUUCCACGUGUAGCGGUGAAAUGCGUAGAGAUGUGGAGGAACACCAGUGGCGAAGGCGGCCACCUGGACAGUAACUGACGCUGAGGCGCGAAAGUGUGGGUAG
rnacentral:rRNA from 2 species